ACGAGAGAUUUUUUAAUAUUUUUACUCUCUUGGGCGGUGAUGGUGGUGAAAGGGUUUUUAUCUUUUUCUUUUUCUUUUUAAUUAUGAAAGGUUAAUAAAAUAGGAUUAAUUCAGUAAUGUUUUUAAGGAUAUUUUGGACCUUUUGCUAUUAUUUCAUGAAGACAGUAUGUGAUAUCAAACAACCUCAGUACUUUUUCGCGCUUAUAAUAUGGUGCUAUCAAACACUGAGCC
rnacentral:lncRNA from 1 species